rnacentral:rRNA from 1 species
UACGUAGGUGGCAAGCGUUAUCCGGAUUUAUUGGGCGUAAAGGGAACGCAGGCGGUCUUUUAAGUCUGAUGUGAAAGCCUUCGGCUUAACCGGAGUAGUGCAUUGGAAACUGGGAGACUUGAGUGCAGAAGAGGAGAGUGAACUCCAUGUGUAGCGGUGAAAUGCGUAGAUAUAUGGAAGAACACCAGUGGCGAAAGCGGCUCUCUGGUCUGUAACUGACGCUGAGGUUCGAAGGCGUGGGUAGCGAACAGG